AGAGUCUGUGAUUUGGUUUUCAUUUCCUGAGUUUCUACCUCACCAAGUUGUCGCAGAGACGCUUCCACAUUAUUUGGCAGCCUGCUGCUGGGAGCCCGGUUUUGCGAUACGUUUUUCCAAGCGUUUUUCUUGCGCCUCUCAUCUCUAGGCUACCGUGACUUGAUCUGCCGCAAGCAGUCGUACCUACACGUAUACACUUUCGGUAGGCUUCUUUUCCAUAGUUUACUUCCAGUUAUUUCACUCCCGGAUUUGAUCUCUGAUUUGUCAACAAAAGGCACGUGCUUCCGGUAGACGCUAGAGCACUUCCGGUUUGGACGCUAGAGUUGAACUUGUAUCAACUCUAGCGUCGGCGACGCUGACGAUGCUCGUGCCGCGACGUGCGAGUGUUUACAAUAUGACGCCUGCCUGAGCGUCGUCGCUAGCGUCCUCGCCAGCAUCGUCGAGCGUCGCCAGCGUCAUAUUGUAAACCUAGCUUAAGCCGUAGACAGAGUACUACACAAGGCUCUAGAGACCAACGAUUUGACGGAGCCGUCAAUCAUGAUCAGGUUCCGCCCAUGGGGUCUACGCAGUAUACAAUCGCGUUGAUAGGCGUUGAGCUGUCAUUAUACGCUUUCUGCCAGGAAUCAAUGGAUAGACCGCCUGAGCUGGUGAAAGGCACAAAAGACCGGUUAAGAUACAGGGUAAGCAAGACUUUAAAUAUCUAAUUAGGUAUGUGCAUGAUUGACAAAGAAUCGAUGUACGUGGACUAAUCAAAUAUCUGCAUCGUUUCUCUAGGCAGAAAUUACAUUAGCUGCGGAUAGCCUUGGCAAGACCUGCUUUAGGGAGACUUACAAACGGCUUCUAAGGAGGUUGUCAAAGUCUACUCUAGAGUAGGUCUUGCGCAGGUUAUGCGAGACAUGCGGCAGCGAAUGAACGCCAUGAGUAUGACACAUAACGAAGGCCUCGUCCUUCUAGAUCUAGGAAUUCCGGAUUGGGAUCCGCGUCACGAGCUCGAGAUCGACGCAGGACUCAUUAGAUCCAUCUCUUCACGAACAGCUGCAGCCAGUUGGUGACGACGAUUUGGGGAAACCUGCAGCUGUCGCCAACUGCAAACUAUGAAACUAUGUAUACAGGUUUCUUCGUGCACGUGACAAAUGCAAUUCAUUAACACAAUAAUUUAAAUUCAAUUUGUGGCCAUGGCAACAGGUGAAAUAGAUUAUCAAGCUGCAGAGCUAGCGACAGCUGCAGGUAGAGUAGCAACUUCCAGACAAAAGGUGCUGUUGUUGAAUCAUCAGACGCGCUGCCCGGUGGCGCUGGGGUUUCAAGCUACAGACUUCCAAAUGACAGAUUCCUUUUUAAUUGAAAUAAUUCAGAUUAUUGAUGGGGAGAUGAUUCUACCGAGGAGCAGAGGAAGAAAACUAUCAUCAAUGGAAUUAAAUGAGAAAAUUAUACGGAAGAAAGAAGAUUGCCAAAUAAUUUAACUUGUGCUUUUGUAAUUUGUGUUGUAUCAUUUUACAAUAAAAUAUGCCUUGAAUUAGAAUUAUUUUGACAGACAAUAAAAUUUUGCAUAUCUGUUUAGCAAU